GAUGUGGCAAUAUGCUCUUAAGUGACUUCUGCUUUUGAAACUUCCUUGUAGCCUGGUUGGCCGGGUAAUAUGGAUGAUGCAUGGUUCUUCCUGUAGGAGUUUGUUAUUUGAGUCAGUGUAUUGUUUUGGAGGAGGAAGUUGCAGUCAUCUGUAUGAAGUUAUAAUAGAUCUUAUAGAUACUUACGAAGCUUUUCGGGUUAGAGCAUCAUGUUUCAUAGACAUGACCCGGGAUGACUAUGGACUUCACGUCACUGUCACAUCAUUUUUUCAUCAUACCACGGACGCAUAACUUUUACCUUUGUAUUCUUCUACAUCUUAGGCACCCCUAUGAAAGUUGUUUGUGAAGUAAAACAGAACAUAAAAAUGAUGCCAUCCCCUCAGAAUAUGUCGGCCGGAAGCCGAGCGACUAGACAAGAACAUUGGGAUUUGGUCGAUGUGGUAUAUUUUUACUUCGAUCACGUGUGUUUCUGUAUUUGCUUUAACCAUGUUUUGAAUAUUUCAGGAAAUUCUUAAACACCAAAGAAGAAUUUUAAACCCCAAAA